rnacentral:rRNA from 1 species
CGGCACGGGUGAGUAACGCGUAUGCGGCCUGCCCGUUGCAGGGGGAUAAUCGGGAGAAAUCCCGUCUAAUACCGCGUAACGCCGCGGGGCUGCAUGGCCCUGCGGCCAAAGGGAGCGAUUCCGGCAACGGAUGGGCAUGCGUGACAUUAGCUAGUUGGCGGGGCAACGGCCCACCAAGGCGACGAUGUCUAGGGGUUCUGAGAGGAAGGUCCCCCACACUGGUACUGAGACACGGACCAGACUCCUACGGAAGGCAGCAG